rnacentral:rRNA from 1 species
GACGGGGCCCGCACAAGCGGUGGAGCAUGUGGUUAAUUCGAAGCAACGCGAAGAACCUUACCAGGUCUUGACAUCCCGAUGCUAUUUCUAGAGAUAGAAAGUUACUUCGGUACAUCGGUGACAGGUGGUGCAUGGUUGUCGUCAGCUCGUGUCGUGAGAUGUUGGGUUAAGUCCCGCAACGAGCGCAACCCCUAUUGUUAGUUGCCAUCAUUCAGUUGGGCACUCUAGCGAGACUGCCGGUAAUAAACCGGAGGAAGGUGGGGAUGACGUCAAAUCAUCAUGCCCCUUAUGACCUGGGCUACACACGUGCUACAAUGGUUGGUACAACGAGUUGCGAGUCGGUGACGGCGAGCUAAUCUCUUAAAGCCAAUCUCAGUUCGGAUUGUAGGCUGCAACUCGCCUACAUGAAGUCGGAAUCGCUAGUAAUCGCGGAUCAGCACGCCGCGGUGAAUACGUUCCCGGGCCUU